GGGAGCUUGGAGGCUUGAGCUCUGGAGGUGGGUUUAGGCAGCCGUUUAAUUUCGUGCAUUAACUCACUGAACUGAGGCUCCAUCCUUCAAUAGCACUUAUCUACCCAACAACCGGGCUGGGGGAGCAGUAGUGUCUCCAUGGCAUAAAUGAAGAAGCUGUGACUCAGAGAGGCUGAGUAAACUGCUUGAUGCUGUACAACUACAUACAGUGAUGAAUGUGAGAUUCAGACUUGGAUUUGUCUGGCUCCAAAAUCUCUGUUCCUUCCAUGACAAUAAAACAAAGGAGAAGAAGAGCGAGAGAUGGUACGUCUAGAUGGCCAGGUGAAAACCGAGCACUGCUGAGCAAGCCCCAAGGAAAAGUGCAGCCUCCACACGAAGUUUUAUUAUUGGCUUCUGAG